GAUGAAGAACGCAGCGAAAUGCGAUAAGUAGUGUGAAUUGCAGAAUUCAGUGAAUCAUCGAAUCUUUGAACGCACAUUGCGCCCCUUGGUAUUCCAUGGGGCAUGCCUGUUCGAGCGUCAUUUGUACCUUCAAGCUUUGCUUGGUGUUGGGUGUUUGUCCAUUCUCUUGCAGAGGGACUCGCCUUAAAGUAAUUGGCAGCCAGUGUUUUGGUUUUGAAGCGCAGCACAAGUCGCGAUUCAAAGCUAUACGCCCGCUUCCACAAGCCUUUUUCACUUUUGACCUCGGAUCAGGUAGGGAUACCCGCAGAACUUAAGCAUAUCAAUAAGCGGAGGA
rnacentral:misc_RNA from 1 species